rnacentral:rRNA from 1 species
UCUAACCUAAGAGUUUGAUCCUGGCUCAGAACGAACGCUGGCGGCAUGCCUAACACAUGCAAGUCGAACGCUAUCU